rnacentral:tRNA from 1 species
UAGGAUAUGGUGUAAAGGUAGCACGAAGAAUUUUGAAUUCUUAAGUUUAGGUUCAAAUCCUGUUAUUCUAG